UCAGCGUUGAUCAGAACACAGAAAAACAUGACUGCCUGCUUUAGUGUCUGCGACACAGAGAGAAAACGAAAGCAACAGAAAACAUAAACAUCCUGUGAACAGGAAAUACGCAGACUCUGUGACUCACAGCCUGCUCCCUUUUAAGGUGGAACGGAAAUAUCCUAACCUCCUCCCCCUUUCCGUGUAACCUGUAGUACCUGUGGUUCAACCCAAUUGCAACCUUUGUACAUAAACCUUAAGUUGUUCUCUGUUAACAACCUUAGACAACAGAUCAGCAGGAAUUUCAUUUCCUGGCAUGUAGGACACCUGAAUGAGUCCUUUCUG